AUAACCUCAGAUUUCAUCAAAAAUAUCUUAAUUUGUGUUCUGAAGAUGAACGAAGGUCUUACGGGUGUGGGACGACAUGAGGAUUUCUGCAACACACCAAACAUGGAUGACAAGAGUGAAUGACAAGGUUAUGGCUCAUCAAUUUUAGGUCCCGGUCUAGUCCUGUCAUGUCAAGCUCCGAUCUGCCCUGUUCUCUGCCCAGUUUACCUGUGCCUGCAGUGCAACCCUCUCUGGUCCCAGAUGUCUACAGGUUUCUGACUCAUGCCUCAAGGUUUCUGCGCUUGCAUCUCUUCUGGAUUUGUUGAUCUUUCCUGGACUCAUUCUGGUUACCAAUCUUUUCACGCGGCCUUUGACUAUGCUCACCUGUCAGCCAUGUACAGAGCCCACUUUUGUUCAAUAAAUGUUCUGAACUGCCUUUGCUGUUUAUUUUUUUAUUUAUUAAACUGAAAUAUAUUUAUAUGCUGUCACAUAUAUUACAUGCUAUUAUAAAUGCAUACCUUUUGAAGAAUAAUUAGAAUAUCAUAUGCAGUUUUAAUAAAGUAGUUAAUUAUGUAACCUUGUAUGUCAUUUUUACUCUUCCAAGUGUACAUUUGCAGGUGUUGAUUAUAAUUGAUUAAUUUGUUGCCCAUAAAUAAUAAGUAUAAACAAUAUAUUAAAAAAAGUAUUAUAUAGUGAUCUAAUGUCGAGUGAUUAAAAAUUUAAGCACAAAAUAUAACACGCAGAAUGGGAAAUAUGUAUAAUAUACCAUAAAAAUAAAAAGUUGUCAUAACGUCAUGUCGCAGUUGCUCAAUGUUGCGUAAUAACGUUGCUACAGCCCUGUGGCGUCUUACAAUUCUACGUUGUCACAACGUUGUGGGCACGUAGACCGCGAGGUUGCCAUAGUAGAACUGCAACGUGCCACAGACGUUGCCACAACGUUAAUGUGUUUGCUGGGUUAACGCACACAAUACUGGACAAAAUAAAGCGAUCACGAAGGCUCUCUCUGUCCGAAACUCGUACAAUCUGGGCCAAUAUGAACUAAUACAGUAAAGUGGAUAUUUACCGCACAUCAUCAGUUAAAUUUGGUAAUAUACUGACACCUGUUGGCAUAUUUGUGUAAUCACAACUUUUGUUAUCUCGAGAUCACGAGAAAAUAAGUCGUGAUCACGACAAAACAACUUUUGUUAUCUCGACAUCACGAGAAAAUAAGUCGUGAUCACGACAAAUCAAGAUAGAAAAAAAUAAUAAUCCAUGGCCGUUUAGGGCUUCCGUACAAACAAGAAUUGAGUAAAAAAUUGCAACAAUUAAAAUUCAAAUAUAAUAAUAAACAUACAUAACAGU